UUGCCAUGGUGAGGGCAUUCUCUAAUGUACCCUUCAUAACGAUUCCAAGCUUCAUGAAAGAGUUCGUCUUCUCCUUGUUAGAACCCAUAAAUCUCGUCUCUACAA
rfam:Eutrema salsugineum unplaced genomic scaffold scaffold_9, whole genome shotgun sequence.